GAUGAAGAACGUAGCGAAAUGCGAUAAGUAAUGUGAAUUGCAGAAUUCAGUGAAUCAUCGAAUCUUUGAACGCACAUUGCGCCCGCCAGUAUUCUGGCGGGCAUGCCUGUUCGAGCGUCAUUUCAACCAUCAAGCCCCAGGCUUGUGUUGGGGACCUGCGGCUGCCGCAGGCCCUGAAAACCAGUGGCGGGCUCGCUGUCACACCGGGCUUAGUAGAUUUUAUCUCGCUCUGGGCGUGCUGCGGGUUCCGGCCGUUAAAAAACCCUUUUAACCCGAGGUUGACCUCGGAUCAGGUAGGAAUACCCGCUGAACUUAAGCAUAUCAAUAAGCGGAGGA
rnacentral:misc_RNA from 1 species